GACAGAGGAUGCAAGCGUUAUCCGGAAUGAUUGGGCGUAAAGCGUCUGUAGGUGGCUUUUAAGUCUGCCGUCAAAUCCCAGGGCUUAACCCUGGACAGGCGGUGGAAACUACCAAGCUGGAGUACGGUAGGGGCAGGAGGGAAUUUCCGGUGGAGCGGUGAAAUGCGUAGAGAUCGGAAAGAACACCAACGGCGAAAGCACUCUGCUGGGCCGACACUGACACUGAGAGACGAAAGCUAGGGGAGCGAAUGGG
rnacentral:rRNA from 1 species